rnacentral:rRNA from 1 species
UACGUAGGGGGCAAGCGUUGUCCGGAUUUAUUGGGCGUAAAGAGCGUGUAGGCGGCUUUGCAAGUCCGAUGUGAAAACUCGAGGCUCAACCUCGAGACGCCGGUGGAAACUGCAAAGCUAGAGUCCGGAAGAGGAGAGUGGAAUUCCUGGUGUAGCGGUGAAAUGCGCAGAUAUCAGGAAGAACACCCGUGGCGAAGGCGGCUCUCUGGUACGGGACUGACGCUGAGACGCGAAAGCGUGGGGAGCGAACAGG